UGAAGUCGGAAUUGCUAGUAAUGGCAGGUCAGCAUACUGCCGUGAAUACGUUCCCGGGCCUUGUACACACCGCCCGUCACACCAUGAGAGUUGGAGAUACCCGAAGCCUGUGAGCUAACUUUUAGAGGCAGCAGUCGAAGGUAGAAUCAAUGAUUGGGGUGAAGUCGUAACAAGGUAGC
rnacentral:rRNA from 1 species